ensembl:lncRNA
GAAAAUGUGCACAUCAAAAUGGAUGAAACAAAAUUGAUGUUUGAAUUGGUUUCUAAAAGGAGCACACAUUUCUGAGCUGAUUCUUGGAGAAUUCAUAGUUAGCUGGGAUUCAGCAAGUAUCUGGUGAAAUCCCCAGACAAGAAUCCUGGAGUGUGUUUCCACGCCCUCCACCAAAAGAUCUUCCCAAUCAAGUGAUCAAACCCUCGUCUCUUAUGUCUCGUGCAUUGGCUGAUGAGUUCCUUACCACUAGUGCCAUCUUGGAAACCUAUUCCAUAUAUAAUUGCCCGGCCCCUGAGGCUCAGCUGUGGUUUUAGUCCCACCUCUGUGCGUGGACCACCUGUAGAAGUCUGUUCCUGAGGCUGCCCUGGAGUACUUGAGUCUGCAUUCACUAGAAGGUAAGGCAUGGCUCAGAGUUGGUGUCUGUCUAGGUUUGGGGACUCUGGUGAUUACAGGUGCAAAGGAAAGAUAGCAGCUGUGGGUACAAGAAAUUGGACACUAGUGGGAACGUUUCCUAGUACCUGGAAGCCAGUGUGAGAAGGCCAGACCUGGUAGGGGCUUUACCUAACACUUAAUGGGUCAUCUGGUACCAUCACUUCAUGGGAAAUAGAUGGAGAAACAGUGGAAACAGUGUCAGACUUUAUUUUGGGGAGCUCCAAAAUCACUGCAGAUGGUGAUUACAGCCAUGAAAUUAAAAGAUGCUUGCUCCUUGGAAGGAAAGUUAUGCAACCUAGAUAGCAUAUUCAAAAGCAUAGACUUUACUUUGCCAAAAAAAAAAAAAAAAAAAACGUCCAUCUAGUCAAGGCUAUGGUUUUUCCAGUGGUCAUGUAUGGAUGUGAGAGUUGGACUGUGAAGAAGGCUGAGUGCCGAAGAAUUGAUUCUUUUGAACUGUGGUCUUGGAGAAGACUCUUGAGAGUCCCUUGGACUGCAAGAAGAUCCAAACAGUCCAUCCUAAAGGAAAUCAGCCCUGGGAUUUCUUUGGAAGGAAUGAUGCUAAAGCUGAAACUCCAGUACUUUGGCCACCUCAUACAAAGAGUUGACUCAUUGGAAAAGACUCUGAUGCUGGCAGGGAUUGGGGGCAGGAAAAAGGGGAUGACAGAGGAUGAAUGGCUGAUGGCAUCACCAACUCGAUGGACGUGAGUUUGAGUGAACUCCAGGAGAUGGUGAUGGACAGGGAGGCCUGGCAUGCUGCAAUUCAUGGGGUCACAAAGAGUCAGACGCGACUGAAUGACUGAACUGAAUGGCGCAGGGGGUUGAAAUGUCGGGAAAGAUUGGCUGCAAUGGUGGCUUUGCCCUCUGUAUGUCACUCAACAGUGGCUUCUUGCUCCUGUGGCAGUCUGGACUUCUUCCACAAGCACUCCUAGCUGAAGGUAUCCUUCCUUCCAUCCCCUCAGGCUGUCUCCUCACAGCCAAAGACAGUUCUCCCCCUGGGUUUGUUCUUCAGUCCUCAUGUUCCAACUCUAAGUCCCUAUGUGCACCGGUGGACACAUGUCCCAGUUCAUUUCUGUCGCUCAGUUGUGUCCAGCUCUUUGCAAUUCCAUGAAUCGCAGCAGGCUAGGCCUCCCGGUCCAUCACCAACUCCUGGAGCUCACUCAGACUAACGUCCAUUGAGUUGGUGAUGCCAUCCAGCCAUCUCAUCCUCGGUCAUCCCCUUCUCCUUCUGUCCCCAAUCCCUCCCAGCAUCAGAGUCCUUUCCAAUGAGUCAACUCUUCGCAUGAGGAGGCCAAAGUACUGCAGUUUUAGCUUCAGCAUCAUUCCCUCCAAAGAAAU